AAGGGGAGGUUUUGCCUGAGAAAAAGUAGCCCCUGAACAAGAAGGGGGGGAAGAAAAAAAAAAAAAUCUUCAGCUAGCUGAGUCAUGAUUGCUUCUGCAAGGCCAUUCAGCCUAUGAAGUGAGCAAAAUGGUAGGUGCAGCAUGUGAGAAACAGGAGGGAUUUGAAUAGCUCUUCUGCCCUGGAGUUGGGAAGCAGAAAAAGCGCUGGAAGGAUCUCAAGAGGUCACUUAAUCCAACCGCCUGCACAAGGCAGGAUCAUGCUGGACCAAACCAUCCCACACAACUGUUUGUCCAACCUGGACUUAUAUUUGCAAUGAUGGCUAUUCCACAACCGCGCUAGGGAAUCUGGAAUCUCUUCUGAAAUAUGCUUGCAGACCUUCAGACCUGGGCCAGACCAUAUCUUAUUUGUAACACCCGUAGAGCCAAUUGGAGGUG